CAUAAAAUGUGAGCACAUAUUUGGCAUCUAUAUAUUAAAAAAGAAACUGGUUUGCGAUGCACAUUUUGUGUCUUAACACCCAUACUAAAUGUAAGAAGUAAAUCAUAUGCCAGACCACAUCAGAAAAACAGUGUGGGUGACAACCUUGCUAAAUUUCCUCUGUACUGGCUGUUGGACCACUUCCGAUGUGUCAGGCUCAUUUAAGCUGUUAAACUCAAUCUAAAACCUUUUGCUGAGAGGAUGAGUUUGUGAUCUGCUUCUUUUAUGAGCAGUAAUGGUACAGCCAUUACUGGUUUCUAUUUCUGCUUGGACAGGAAUUUCUCCAAUAUAAAACAGAAAGGCUUCAUUUUCAUCUUUUUACUUGUAUGGGACUUCUCUACUUUCUCAGGAAACAUGACUGUUAAUAUAAAUCAGCAACGUGAUAUUUUGCCAGUCACAACACAACUUAAUAUUUCGCUGGGAUGUCGAGCUGUGAUACCGUGUCAGCAUUGCAGCCAUCAUUUAGACUCUUUCAAAUGGUUUUACAAGGACCAUAGUAGUAAGCAGGUUCAGUUAUUCUUCCAAGAUAAGAGUGGAGUGCAAUAUCAUCAAAUGUCAAAUCCCAAAUUGAAAAUUGGAUCCAAUCGUUCCUUGGUCAUCAGUUCUUUUACUGAGGAUGAUGAAGGUGUGUACUGGUUGAAACUUGCCAAGAAACAUGCCAAAAGUCCACUGACAUCAUAGUGAAGAAAGAGACGUGGAAAGAAGUCAGUAAGACAGUUUAGUUUACAUUAUUGCCGGCAGGAGUUUUUAUCACACAUGUUCAAGUAAACUUGAUAAAAUAAAAUGGACUUUUGAACCAACGACUGCUCUCGGGAAAUCAGAAGUAAGAGCAACAACAGAGAAUUUGACUUUCAACAAGUCUAUAUAUAUUGGAAAUGUCAGAAGAGAAGAUGCUGGGAAAUACACCUGCUGGAUGAGUACCUGUGUCGGACACAGUAUUAAGCUAGUCACUAUCAAUUUGUGUGUAGUCACAGUAUAUGACAGUAAGGAUUCAUCUGCAUCUUGUGCUGUGACGUGCGGCAUGAAAUCCAAUAAUCCAAACAGAACUUCAACUACAUCUGUGCAUGUACAUUCAGACGGGUCCCUAAAGUGCAAUAUAGAUUCAGUGUUUGAUGGAUACACUACAUUCACUACCAGUCAAACUUCAUUAAAUGCAUUUAGCACAACAACAGGUUUUGAAAAAGAGCCUGAAGACUGGAUCCCACUUAUUUGUGGUAUAUCAGUAUCACGUGUCAUUUUAAUGGCACUUAUUUUUUGCUCCAGAUCAAGGUUACAUUCAGCAUUUCCUGUUCAAAUUUGUUGCUGUGGCUUGAAUAGCAGGGUGGAAGAGGAGUCUUCAGUGGUUUAUUUAUCAGUUAUCAUCCGGACACCUGGCAAAAGAAUUAAUCACAUGGCCUCUAGUGAUUGUGUUUAUUGUGAAAUAAAAGUAUAGAGAAAAAAAAAGU